AGAGGAAGUAGCUGGAAGGGGAAGCAGCGAGCUGCAGAGAGGAGGAGGCUGGUGUGGAGCACAGGCAGCACCAAGCCUGCCCCGUGAGCAGAGGGCCUGCAGUCUGCGGCUGGAAUCAGGAUGGACACCAAGGCAGGACCCCCAGAGAUGCUGAAGCCUCUUCGGAGAGCAGCAGUAACCCCCAUGUGGCCGUGCUCCAUGCCGCCCCGCCGCCUGUGGGACAGAGAGGCUGGCACGUUGCAGGUCCUGGGAGCGCUGGCUAUGCUGUGGCUGGGCUCCAUGGCUCUUACCUACCUCCUGUGGCAAGUGCCCCAUCCUCCCACCUGGGACCAGGUGCAGCCCAAGGACGUGCCCAGGUCCUGGGGGCAUGGUUCCAGCCCAGCUUUGGAGCCCCUGGAAGCGGAGGCCGGGAAGCAGAGGGACUCCUGCCAGCUUGUCCUUGUGGAAAGCAUCCCCCAGGACCUGCCAUCUGCAGCCGGCAGCACCUCCGCCCAGCCUCUGGGCCAGGCCUGGCUGCAGCUGCUGGACACUGCCCAGGAGAGCGUCCAUGUGGCUUCAUACUACUGGUCCCUCACAGGGCCCGACAUUGGGGUCAACGACUCAUCUUCCCAGCUGGGAGAGGCCCUUCUGCAGAAGCUGCAGCAGCUGCUGGGCAGGAACGUUUCCUUGGCUGUGGCCACCAGCAGCCCAACACUGGCCAGGAAGUCCACCGACCUGCAGGUCCUGGCUGCCCGAGGUGCCCAGGUACGACGGGUGCCCAUGGGGCGGCUCACCAGGGGCGUUUUGCACUCCAAAUUCUGGGUUGUGGAUGGACGGCACAUAUACAUGGGCAGUGCCAACAUGGACUGGCGGUCCCUGACGCAGGUGAAGGAGCUUGGCGCUGUCAUCUAUAACUGCAGCCACCUGGCCCAAGACCUGGAGAAGACCUUCCAGACCUACUGGGUCCUGGGGGUGCCCAAGGCUGUCCUCCCCAAAACCUGGCCUCAGAACUUCUCAUCUCAUAUCAACCGUUUCCAGCCCUUCCAGGGCCUCUUUGAUGGGCUGCCCACCACUGCCUACUUCUCAGCAUCGCCGCCGGCACUCUGUCCCCAGGGCCGCACCCCUGACCUGGAGGCGCUGUUGGCGGUGAUGGGGAGCGCCCAGGAGUUCAUCUAUGCCUCCGUGAUGGAGUAUUUCCCUACCACGCGCUUCAGCCACCCCCGCAGGUACUGGCCGGUGCUGGACAACGCGCUGCGGGCGGCAGCCUUCGGCAAGGGCGUGCGCGUGCGCCUGCUGGUCGGCUGCGGACUCAACACGGACCCCACCAUGUUCCCCUACCUGCGGUCCCUGCAGGCGCUCAGCAACCCCGCGGCCAACGUCUCUGUGGACGUGAAAGUCUUCAUCGUGCCGGUGGGGAAUCAUUCCAACAUCCCGUUCAGCAGGGUGAACCACAGCAAGUUCAUGGUCACGGAGAAGGCAGCCUACAUAGGCACCUCCAACUGGUCGGAGGAUUACUUCAGCAGCACGGCGGGGGUGGGCCUGGUGCUCACCCAGAGCCCCGGCGCGCAGCCCGCGGGGGACCACGGUGCAGGAGCAGCUGCGGCAGCUCUUUGAGCGGGACUGGAGCUCGCGCUACGCCGUCGGCCUGGACGGACAGGCUCCGGGCCAGGACUGCGUUUGGCAGGGCUGAGGGGGCCCCUUUUUCUCUCGGCGACCCCGCCCCGCACCCGCCCUCCCCUCCGACCCGGCCUGGGCUUCAGCCGCUUCCUCCUGCAAGCAGCCCGGGUCGGCUCUGCGCCAGGAGCCGCCCGCGACCGCCGGGCGCCGCGCACCGCCCGCCAGCUCUCUGAUUUCCCAGUCCGGCCCCCUAAGCCCCGCCUCCUCCAGGGAGCCCUCCAGGAGGCCGCUACCCUGACUCCUGGCCCACAGGCCAGGCCUAAAAAACGCUCGUGGCUUCCCAGUGCCUCCGUGUGAGUCCCAGCGCUGGCGGCCCUUCAUCUUUUUGCCAAGGGCCCGCCUCUACGCGCCCGCCCCUGCGAAGCCGCGCCGCGCGACUGCCGUGGCAGCGCCUCAGCUAGUCCGGGCUCCGCGAGAACCCGGGGCGGGACGGGAACCAGACGGGCUCCCCGGACGGAGCGAACCCUCGAUCUCCCACCCCGCGCCGAGUUGCCGCGCUCCGGAACCCAAAUUCCCGCCCAGCGGCUGCCGUGGGGAGCGAGAGCCGCGGAGCCCAAGCCCGGGACUCCCGCGGAGGGAGCGCAGACCAAGGCGCAGCGCCGCGCACCCACCGCCAGGGGGCGGCUCCUACGGCGCCCGACAGGACGCCUUAGACCUCAGCAUUCUGUCUGUGCAGAAAGUCUCCUACAGCCAUCCUGCCUCCCUGCCCAAGCUUGUGAAAAGUUUGCUGCAGAUGCUGCAGGAGGAUGAGGAUCCACACAACCCUGCAAGGCCUCAGGAGCCUCUGGGAGCUGCUUUGUAUGUGAGCUGCACUUGUCCAAGCCAAGCUCUGGCAGUUACAGUGGCUGCUCCCUGUGGCUUCCUAUCCUUCAUCCAUGCUCCAAAUCUCCUCAGCAACCAUCGGCCAAAAAGCUGUGUGGCAACACCUGGCUCAGAAUCUGAUAUCAUCCCAGACUAAGCUCUGCCCUCCAGGGUUGCAUGUGUGGGUUUGCUCCCUGGUUCUUGGCCUUAUACCUGAAUGUGUCUCAGAGCACUUGGCCUGCCGACUGUGUUCUAGGAGGGCUCUGUGCUCCAGGUUGUGAUUUGGACAACUGGCUUGUGGCCCUCAUCCAGUGAAAGGCCUCUCUCCAUACACCUGGGGUCUGGCAGUCACACUUCAGUGGCACUGUCAGAGGCUUACUUCAAAGCAGACUCCUAUUCCCAAGGAAAUCCAGCUUGACAAGGCUUGAGAGACCCCAGGAGGGUAACACAAUGUGGCCCCUUCUGGAAUAUAGCAGACUCUAGAAUGACUCCCAUGAUCCCCGCCUCCUGCUAUGCAUGCCCUUGUGUGAUCUUACCUUGAGUGUGUGCAUGACCUGUGCCUUGUUGUAACCAAGAGAAUACACAGAGGUAAUGGGGUGUCAUUUCUGUGAUAGCAGUCUAUCCCUUGCUAGCUUUAAUAAAGUGAGCUGCUAGGCUAUGAGCUGUCCUGUGAAGAGGCCCAUGUGGCAGGGUACUGGGGUUGCCUCCAGCCCCCAACUAGCAAGAAACUGGGGCCCUCAGUCAUCCCAUCCACAGGAGCUGAGUGUGGCUAGCAACACUCAACUUAAACACUGAAGCUUAAAUGUGAGCUUCAGAAGUGGCUUCUUUCCUGGUCAUGCCUGAAGGGGAGACCAUAGCCCCAGCUGACACCUUGAUUGACGCCUAAUGGGACCUUCAGCAGAGAACCCAACAAAGCCACACUUAGGCUCCCGAUCUACAGAAACUGGAAGAUCAUAAAUGUGUGUUGUUUUAAGUUGCUAAUUUGUAGUGAGUGAUGUUCUUAUGCAGCAUAGAUAACUCAUACACAGAGAACCAAGGCCAUGUGAGAACCCUGUGGGGGCCCCUGCUGCUCAGCCACUUCUCACGUGCUGGGACAGCUAUCUCUCUGGCCUCUAGCACCAAGGUCCCCACUAUCCCAGGCCUUGACUCUGGGAUCAGAGAGGGACAAAAGCCCCAUGGAGCCAGGCAGACUCCUCCCUCUGCAGUGCUCCCUGGGCUGCACUCACCUAGCUUGUCUGGCACACACAAGUUGGAGUAGAGGAGGCAGGAAGCCCUGGGAAGGGAGUGGGUGACAGCCUUGCUUAACUGUGGGAUGAGUGCCCACCAAAUUUCCCUUCCCCCUUCCCCUGCUUGUGAGCCCCCAGGGGACCUGUGUCAGUUCACUUUCUAGAGGCUUCUAUGUCCCCUAACUUGGAUGACACCCAUGGGCCUCCCAAACUCAGCACAAGGAACAUAUGCCCAUGGUGGCAUGGGGAAAGAACCCAGCCUGUCCCCUGCCCAGGCUCCUGCACCCCAUAGCUGUCACCCCUCUGGAACCUCUCAGGGCAGCACAAGGAGUGGUAGCCUCAGAGUGGCCUUCACCCUUCAGGCACUGUCGUCCUCCAGAUUGGCUACAGCCCAGCUCUUGCUCCCAUGCCCACAGCCAUAAGAGCAGCCACCUCCCCAGGGGUCCAUGAGCGCUACUCACCAGGAGCCCACCCAAGCCAGGAGGGAGCUGGGGGCAAGUUCCAACUGGCCCCUUGAACACUGCAUACCCAUGAACCCAGCAGGGGCAUCUGAGGGCAGCUGGGAAGAGAUCUGACCACUGAAAGACUAUAGGGAACCCUUGAACCUCACUCCACUACCCCACAUGGAUUUGCUUCCUGUGGGCUGCCCAAGAGAGCCUCUGUGAUAAAGGAAGCUUCCGAUGAUGGGCCACUCAAAAUGGCCAAGGACACCUUUCUGUGCUGUCCCCACUCUGCACUCUAUCUCCCAUCCCACACUGCCUCCAGCUGGAGGGAGGAAGGGAGGGUUGAGAGACCAGGAUUCACAGUGUCCCUGCCACACUGUGAACUCAGCCCUAUCUUCCUUGUCUUCCUCACAGCCUCUAGCUCAGAGGAGGACCUGGACAAAUGGAUGAUACAUAGGCAACCACUCUAAUGUUCCUCCUUGACUGUUCUCUAGAGCUACUUAGUAAAGACCAGACUGUGUGGGAGGAAAGCACUGGUAAACUUCCACCCGUAGACAGAAGACCUCAGCAGCCUUCACCAUGGGAUGCAGCACUUUCUUUAUUGCCCAUCCAGGGAACAGCCAAGCCAGCUCCAUCUGCAUUCUGGCUGCAGCGUGUACAUUAGGAGACUCAGGGGCCACAGUGUGGGACCGUGCACGCUGACAAGGCACUGGUGGAUGCUGGCAAGCAAGUGGACAUGGAUAGAUGAGAAUGGUAACUCACAGAUGUCCUGGCUUCUGCUGGCCCGGCUGCCAGCCACUGGCUGCCAUCACCCUUCUGCCUAGCACGUGUGUACUGUCACACAAAACAUCUUGAAGCUUGCCAUUAGUGAGCAUUCAACAAAGAAGUAAGCUAAGAGAGAAGGAAACAGUGUCUCCUGGAAUAUACCGCACUCUGCCUGAAAUAGGAAAACUAUGUUUGCCAGGAAGCAGCAGCAGCAGGAAAGAAGUUAUACCAAAAACUACUCAUACACCACGGACAUUAGAACCCUUUCCUCAAAGAAACACUCAUGUUCUGUUGGGUAUUAUGGACAGGUUUCUUGAAAUUUAUCUAAUAAAGACCAACAAACUUUCCCAGCAA